CACGGGGGGAACUAGCGUUGUUCGGAUUUACUGGGCGUAAAGGGUGCGUAGGCGGGCUGACAAGUCGGGUGUGAAAUUCCAGGGCUUAACCUUGGAUCUGCAUUCGAAACUGCCGGUCUUGAGUACUGGAGAGGUGAGUGGAAUUCUCGGUGUAGCGGUGAAAUGCGCAGAUAUCAGGAGGAACACCGGUGGCGAAGGCGGGUCUCUGGGCCGAUACUGACGCUGAGGAGCGAAAGCGUGGGGAGCGAACAGG
rnacentral:rRNA from 1 species